rnacentral:rRNA from 1 species
CACGCCGGCCAUAGGCGGAGGGGGAACACCCGGACUCGUCAGAUCCCGGAAGUUAAGCCCUCUGCCGCGGGACCGAGUACUCGAUUCCGCGAGGGUCGGGGAAAGGCCCGUGCUGGCGGCG